GAUGAACGCUAGCGGAAGGCUUAAUACAUGCAAGUCGAGCGGUAGGUGGCUUCGGCCAUUGAGAGCGGCGCACGGGUGAGUAACGCGUACAUGACCUGCCUGUCAGAAGGGGAUAGCCCUGGGAAACUGGGAUUAAUACCCUAUGGUAUUGAUAUUAUGAAUGAUAUCAAUUAAAGUUGAGGCGCUGACAGAUGGAUGUGUGUCUGAUUAGCUAGUUGGUAGGGUAACGGCCUACCAAGGCGGCGAUCAGUAGGGGGCGUGAGAGCGUGGUCCCCCACACGGGUACUGAGACACGGACCCGACUCCUACGGGAGGCAGCAGUAAGGAAUAUUGGUCAAUGCCCGCAAGGGUGAACCAGCCAUUCCGCGUGGAGAAUGAAGGCCCUAUGGGUUGUAAACUUCUUUUAGAUGGGAAGAAAAUGCUAGAUGUAUCUGGUACUGACGGUACCAUCAGAAUAAGCACCGGCUAACUCCGUGCCAGCAGCCGCCGUAACAC
rnacentral:rRNA from 1 species